CUGUGAGUCCCACAGGAGACAGGCUGUACAUCAGCUACUGGCCGCACAAGCUUCACACCCUGGCCAGGGAUGGCACACUCCUGGCUACAUACACAGACCCAGCACUAUGGUACCCAACUGGUCUACAUGUGACCCCUGCAGGCCAGGUGCUGGUCUGUGGAGGCCUGCCCCACACUGUACAACAGGUGGGCUGGGAGGGAGAGAGUAAGCUGACUACGCUGGCUACACAGGAGGAUGGAGAGUGGUGUCCACAGUCAGUCUGCUACAGCAGCACUACAUCCUCCAUCAUUGUGGGACAGUGGAGGGACAACAUCCUGGUGUUCAGAGUGGAAUAGUGUGUACAUUGGCUGCUGAGUCAGGACAACGAUGCUGAGGAUGUGGUGGACAGAAUAAACUGAAUACUCAGAAGGAGAGCACCAGCACUGGUAUUGAGUUGGCCCAACAACAGUGCCAGUCCAGCAUGCAGGAGAUUCAGUCAAGGACGACCCUUCCCCUACCCUGACCACUAACUCCUCACUUUUUACCUGCAGCCUCAAAGGAUCAGCAUCAUUGAACAAUUCUGUUCUGCAGGAAAUUCUCAGCACGUCAAGUUUUCACAGGCUGUUCUCAACAACCGCAAUGUCCUGGUCGAGUUUUCCACAUUCAAGCCUGAGUAGUUUGUUAAAUAUAAGCAGUAGAAAUGGUAACACUAACAGCCAGUGUUCUUGCUGUUGGACAUCACAAAGAAUAUCACAGAAUACAAAGUUGAAUAACUUGUUCCAUUCAUUAUGGGACCAACAGAAAUUCAGCAAGAAACAGGGCAAAAAAUCAUGGAACAAUUGAAGCGAUUAAUUUAGAACUGUAGGCUUUCCAAAAUAGAUACUUCUGCUGUUGAUAGUUUUGACAGUAAUAGGGUUACGGACGUCUCGGUUUGUCCUCUCAGGCGUGUAAACUGUCCAAAGAGAACACGCUUCUGACGCUUUUGCUGACGAAGAAAGGCAGUAAUGACUUGGCUGUGAACACCCAGAGCACAAUACAUCCUUGGGGCAUGCCACAGACGCAAAUUCCGCUCAAGAUUAUAAACAAGGUGCAAAAUGUGAAUAUGUCUAGCUUUGUUAUGAGCACUUCCCACUCCGAGCCCAUAGGCCUCGUAUUGAAUCGUGGCUGAGAAGGCAUUGACAGCAGUUGUGUUGUGUGGUCCAGUACGCCCUUCGACUCUGAACCCGACGUUUAUCAGAACUCAAACUCGGCCCUAAGCAAUAUCAGCUCAGCUCCUUGAGCCUCAGGACUUGAUGCAAUCCUUGAUUGGUACCCAGCUUAACAACAGGCUCUUUGGUCAGCUGGUCCCAGACGCCCAGAGACACUUCCUGUGCAUCGGGGGUAGUUGGCUCUUGGCGCAGGACCUCGGGGCAAAUGCUCAACAAAUCCUUAGCGCAGGGUGCAGCCAGUCUAAACCUGGGGUUUCAAACUUUCCUGCCUAAGGGCCGAGAUUAUCUCAUCCACAAGAGGCUUAUACUCACAAGUUCAGGCCCAGAGAGAAAUGUCCCCAACUUCAACUUAACCCCUACAUCUCAAUAGGAGAGCACCAGCAUUGACUAUUGUGUUGGCCCAACAACAGCACCAGUCUGGCAUGCAUGAGCCCCAGUCCAGGACAACCCUUCCCCUACCCUGAUCCAUAUCUCCUCCCCCAAGACUUCCAGCCUCAAAUUCUGAGCACAUCCAGUUUUCUUGCACUAUUCUCAUCAACCGCAAUGUCCACGUCAAGUUAUCCACUGUCGAGCCCGAGUAGUUUUGUUUAGCUUGAGUGUCCGAGUGGGAAGAGUGUUACAGACACAAGGAGUUAUAUCAGUAGUUAUGGUAAUGCUCAAUCAACAGUCAGUUCUUGCUGUUGGACAUCACUGUGAAUAUCACGACGAAUGAGAAGUUGAAUGACUUGUUCCAUUCGUUAUGGGACAAACACAAAUUCAGCGAGGAACGGACAAAAAAUCAAGGAACAAUUGAAGCGAUUAAUGCAGAAGUGUAGGCUGUACAAAGAAGAUACUUGUGCUGUUGAUAGUUAGGACAGUAGUAGCGUUACGGACCAUCUCGGUUUGUCCUCUCAGGCGUCUAAACUGUCCAAAGGGAAUAUAAAGCUUUUGAGGCUGUUGCUGAUGAAGAAAGGCAGUAAUGACUUGGCUGUCAACACCCAGAGCACAAUACAUCAAAGGGGCAUGCCUCAGACGCAAAUUGCGCCCAAGAUUGUAAACAAGGUGCAAAAUGUGAACAUGUCUGGCUUUGUUACGAGCACUUGGCACUUGUAUUGAAUCGAGAAUAGAGAUGGCUUUGAAAAAUGACAGCAGUUUUGUAAUGUCGUCCAGUACGCACUUCGACUCUCAACCGAGUUAGUCAGAACUCAAACUCGGGCCUUAGUAAUAUCAGCAAAUUGUAGAGACGCUCAAACUGAUUUGUUCCAACAGAUAGAACAGGCGUUGAUUGACUCGUCCGUAAAUGUGACUGGCCUUAAUAUGUUGCUCUCGAUUAAUGUGAACCUCACCAGGAGAGCUGUCUGCGAUUGACGCCAUUCAACAACAGUUGUUGUCGGGAAUUCCCGGGUUUGGGUUGGUGACUUAGGUGUCGGGACUCGCUUCAUCUCUGCAUAUGGCAGGUUCGCAGCAGCAGCAGCAGCAACAAGAACAGCAGUCGCUUCUGAGUCCGGACAAAGAUGCUGAGGAUGUGGUGGACAAGAAUGACCUGAAUGCGUAGAAGCAACUGCUCAGCACAGAAGACGACUGUCUGGUGAAAGGCUCAGCCAUAUCAAAGUUCAGUGAUGUUGGGGGACGUUGCUGUUCCAUGUCUGGGGAUCGCAUCAUGAAGGACAUUUUAGCUGACACUUACAAGGGAGAGAACUCUAGGUCUGCA